rnacentral:pre_miRNA from 1 species
AGCCCCUGGGGAUCUCGUUAACAUGUAGAUUCUGCUUCCGUAGGUCGGGCUGAGAUUCUGCAUUUCCAACAAGCUCCUAGAUGAGGUCCAUU